CCUACGGGAGGCUGCAGUGAGGAAUAUUGGUCAAUGGGCUUACGCCUGAACCAGCCAAGUCGCGUGAGGGAAGACUGCCCUAUGGGUUGUAAACCUCUUUUGUCAGGGAGCAAGUGGCGCUACGUGUAGCGUUAUCGAGAGGACCUGAAGAAAAAGCAGCGGCUAACUCCGUGCCAGCAGCCGCGGUAAUACGGAGGAUGCGAGCGUUAGCCGGAUUUAUUGGGUUGAACGGGUGCGUAGGCGGAAUGCCAAGUCAGCGGGAAAAUCGCGGGGCUCAACCUCGCUCCGCCGUUGAAACUGGCGUUCUUGAGUGGGCGCGAAGUAUGCGGCAUGCGUGGUGUAGCGG
rnacentral:rRNA from 1 species